AUGCAGAUCUUAGAAUCAUCAUUCCUCCUGACAUCUUGUAAUGAGGGGAAGAUGAUGACAGAAGAUGAGUUAACACGGUGCCUCCAGCAAAUGCAGAUUCGAUGCCCAAGAAAUAUCAUAGCCAAGCAAAUUGACAAGUUCAAAUUCCUUAUAUUUUUCAGAGGGCCAGUAACUACAACUUUGUUUCACACGUUAUCUACUGACAUUGCUGGGGUGCAACUACCAUUUGGUACGUUCUUGGUAAAAAAAUGGACCACGUCUGCUGGUGCGACCUCUUCUGUCCUCUCUCAGAGAAACGACAUACGGAUUACAGGCCUACCAACUGAGUUUUACAGCCAGGCCAUAAUCGAAGACAUAUUGGGCCCUCACUGCAUGCUAGAGAACAACAGCCAACAUGUUGGUGAUUCCCCUGAUGUUUUCUUCUACGACUGUGCCAUAUGGACAGAUGAAAACAGAGAUAUUCCAGAGAUCAUAUCUAUUUGGGUUGCUCCAGAUGGGUUAGUAGUGGAACCGUCGCCUGUUAAAGGUCUUCAGGUGCCUCUGGAGCUGUAUCAUGCAAGAAUUUUCAGCUAA
rnacentral:rRNA from 1 species